UACGGAGGAUGCGAGCGUUAUCCGGAUUUAUUGGGUUUAAAGGGUGCGUAGGCGGCGAGUUAAGUCAGCGGUAAAAGCCCGGGGCUCAACCCCGGCCCGCCGUUGAAACUGGCUGGCUUGAGUUGGGGAAAGGCAGGCGGAAUGCGCGGUGUAGCGGUGAAAUGCAUAGAUAUCGCGCAGAACCCCGAUUGCGAAGGCAGCUUACAAAUCUAUAUCGGACGCUGAGGCACGAAAGCGUGGGGAGCAAACAGG
rnacentral:rRNA from 1 species